CUGCACAUGUUCUUGCCUGCUGCCAUGUCAGACAUGACUUUGCUCCUUCUUUGCCUUUCUCCAUGAUUGUGAGGCCUCCUCAACCAUGUGGAACUGAUAAAAUGGGAAUAAAAAGAGUAAUCAUCUGGAACAGCUAUGGUGAUUCAUUGAGAUAGCCCUUAUAAAGUGCUGUGCCCUUUAAGAGGCAGAAUAGAGGUAUAGUGAAGAAUGUGAACUCUGAAGCAAGACAGUCUGGCUCAGAUCCUACGGACACCACUUGCUAAUUGUAUGAUGGAGUCUCGCUCUUUCGCCCAGGCCGGACUGCAGUGGCACGAUCUCGACUCACUGCAAGCUCUGCCUCCCGGGUUCACGCCAUUCUUCUGCCUCAGCCUCCCAAGUAGCUGGGACUACAGACACCCGCCACCGCGCCCGGCUAAUUUUUUAUAUUUUUAGUAGCGACGGGGUUUCACCGUGUUAGCCAAGAUGGUCUCCAUCUCCUGACCUCGUAAUCUACCUCCGCCUCCCAAAGUGCUGGGAUUACAGGUGUGAGCCACUGCGCCCGGCCGUGAUGGCAUUUUUAAUAUAGGGAUAGCCAAUAGAUUUGGUCCCAAGCUCAAUAUCUGAACUUUGGUUUUAGCUAUCUGGAUUGUGCUGCUGAGAACUUCUGAGGUCACACCAGAAAGAAAAUCUGUGAUUAACUGGCGAUAUCUGCACAGUAAGAAGAGUGGGGCCCACAUAUUUGUCACACUUUGUCUAAGGAAAGAGAAUAUUAUUCCAAAAGUUGUGGUAUUUCAAUGUCAGCUCAACCCUUACUUUUCUGGACGACCACAGGCAAACCAACAGUGAUAAAACUAGUAACAUUUUGUACCUUUACAUGGAUCUUUUGAUUGAACCCAUCUCAGGGCCUUGUGAGGGGGCAGAACUGAGAUUGUUACUCUCAGUUGAUAGUUGAGGAAAACUGAGAUUGAGAACAUUUAACAUUUGCCCAAAGUCGGCUAUCGACGUUUUCAGGUGUAAAGUUCAAAUUCUGGUCUGAGUUCUUUCUACCAAACUCGAUGCUGUCUUUAAAUUAUUUAUGUUUCAAUGUCCCCAUUUGCAAAAUGCGAUAUAGCAUACUUUCUGGUGUAUUUCACAGUAAGUUACUCAUUUAAAUACGCUGAAAAGUUAGAAGUGUCUAUGAAAUGUACAUAAAAAUAUGUAGUAUUUCACAUAUAUUUUUCAGUGUUUUCUAUAUCAACCUAAUGAGGGCUGAAGGCACAGAUAUUAAAGCAAAAUAAAUGUUUUGGUUAGAUUCAAGUAGUUUUCUCUUAAAAGAGCUGAUUUUGUCCUCUCGGAGACAUCUGGAAAUGUCUGGAGGCAUGUUUGGCUGUCAUAACUUGCGGAGAGGUAUUGCUAUUGGCAUCUAAUAGGCGGUGGCGGCGAAUGCUGGUGAACCUCCUACCAUGCACAGGACAACCCACAUAGCAAAGAAUUAUCUGGUUGCAAACGUCAAUUGUGGCAAGGUUGAGAUUAAAGUCAAUGAGAAACACAUUGUUUAACCAGGGUUUUAUUGUCAUUACAGGGAGAUAGUCCAAGCUUUCUCCAUGAGCAAAGAUUUGGAUGUUCUGUUCUCCCAAACGACAUGGUUUUCUCUAGUCCCAGUCAAUAAUACUCUCUCCAGUGCUCUUUUUGGCAAGACCCUGACUCUAUCACUUUGUGCCUGUGUGACUUGCGUCUUACUUUGCUUGUUAGUUAAAUAGGGAUUAUAGAACCUACCUUGUAAAGCUAAUGUGAAGAUGAAAUUAAUUUGUGCUAUGAAGCACUUAGAAAAUCUCACACUAUUAAGCUCAUAGUAAGAGUUUAAUAAAUAUUAUAAAUACUUUUUAAAAAGAAGUUUUGGAAUACAACAUUCUCCCUACAACAUCUUCCCUGUGCUUCCUGGGGUUUUCCUCCAUUAAUUAGGAAGUCAAUUAUUUAAAUUUAAUGCAUUAAAAGCCCCAAUAUUAAUUU